UUACGACCGUAUCAUGUUGAAACACCAGUUCUCGUUCGAUCACCGAAGUUAAGCAACGUCGAGUCUGGUCAGUACCUAAAUGGCUGACGGGUUGGUAAUACCAGUUACUGUAAG